UGGGCGUAAGAGCUCGUAGGCGGUUUGUCGCGUCUGCCGUGAAAGUCCGGGGCUUAACUCCGGAUCUGCGGUGGGUACGGGCAGACUAGAGUGCAGUAGGGGAGACUGGAAUUCCUGGUGUAGCGGUGAAAUGCGCAGAUAUCAGGAGGAACACCGAUGGCGAAGGCAGGUCUCUGGGCUGUAACUGACGCUGAGGAGCGAAAGCAUGGGGAGCGAACAGGAUUAGAUACCCUGGUAGUCCAUGCCGUAAACGUUGGGCACUAGGUGUGGGGGACAUUCCACGUUUUCCGCGCCGUAGCUAACGCAUUAAGUGCCCCGCCUGGGGAGUACGGCCGCAAGGCUAAAACUCAAAGGAAUUGACGGGGGCCCGCACAAGCGGCGGAGCAUGCGGAUUAAUUCGAUGCAACGCGAAGAACCUUACCAAGGCUUGACAUGAACCGGAAUGAUGCAGAGAUGUGUCAGCCACUUGUGGCCGGUUUACAGGUGGUGCAUGGUUGUCGUCAGCUCGUGUCGUGAGAUGUUGGGUUAAGUCCCGCAACGAGCGCAACCCUCGUUCCAUGUUGCCAGCGGGUUAUGCCGGGGACUCAUGGGAGACUGCCGGGGUCAACUCGGAGGAAGGUGGGGACGACGUCAAAUCAUCAUGCCCCUUAUGUCUUGGGCUUCACGCAUGCUACAAUGGCCGGUACAAAGGGUUGCGAUACUGUGAGGUGGAGCUAAUCCCAAAAAGCCGGUCUCAGUUCGGAUUGAGGUCUGCAACUCGACCUCAUGAAGUUGGAGUCGCUAGUAAUCGCAGAUCAGCAACGCUGCGGUGAAUACGUUCCCGGGCCUUGUACACACCGCCCGUCAAGUCACGAAAGUUGGUAACACCCGAAAGCCGGUGGCCUA
rnacentral:rRNA from 1 species